UCCUUCCCGUCCGUUUACCAGGCGGUGGAACGCGCAUCUCGUAUGCGCCCUCGUAUCUCGGAGAUCGGAGAUGGGAGGUGGUAGGUGGUAAGGACGUAUACCGACACAAUAGCUAUACGGCUAGUAGUGUCCGAGAUGUGACUUGGUGAGCAGUUGCGUGUGAAGCGACACUUUGCCGCCUCGCUACCUUUUAAAACACCGACGGGCUUUUGCUAGUUUGGAAUACGGUGAAGAGGAUGCGGAGACUGUGAAAGCAGAGAUGGUGCAGGGUCAUAGGUCACGGUGCUGCAAUGCCUUUCCACCCUCUUUUGCCAGCUGACUGGGAGUAGCCAUAGCAGGGGGAACUGUUUUUUUUUUUUUUUCUUCGAACUAACGUGCAGCUGACGACACCUCUCUACCUCAUCACACUCCAGAUUGCUGUUGAAACAACCAUUUAUUCUGCGUCCAUGAGAAAAAUGUACACAAAAUACUGGACAUGCUGUAGCUCACAGUGAGGGUCAUUGGGGCCAGCUUGGAUCCAAAGGAGUUCCAGAAGUUCCAGAUACCCUCUGCCAUGGCCUUCUCAAGUGAUCACAACUUCACUGGAAAUUUGGAAGGGCAGGGUGAGAA